UACGUAGGGGGCAAGCGUUGUCCGGAUUUAUUGGGCGUAAAGAGCGUGUAGGCGGCCAUGUAGGUCCGUUGUGAAAACUCGAGGCUCAACCUCGAGACGCCGAUGGAAACCAUGUGGCUAGAGUCCGGAAGAGGAGAGUGGAAUUCCUGGUGUAGCGGUGAAAUGCGCAGAUAUCAGGAAGAACACCCGUGGCGAAGGCGGCUCUCUGGGACGGUACUGACGCUGAGACGCGAAAGCGUGGGGAGCAAACAGG
rnacentral:rRNA from 1 species